rnacentral:rRNA from 1 species
AUACGUAGGGUGCGAGCGUUGUCCGGAAUUACUGGGCGUAAAGAGCUCGUAGGUGGUUUGUCGCGUCGUCUGUGAAAUUCCGGGGCUUAACUCCGGGCGUGCAGGCGAUACGGGCAUAACUUGAGUACUGUAGGGGAGACUGGAAUUCCUGGUGUAGCGGUGAAAUGCGCAGAUAUCAGGAGGAACACCGGUGGUGAAGGCGGGUCUCUGGGCAGUAACUGACGCUGAGGAGCGAAAGCAUGGGUAGCGAACAGGAUUAGAUACCCUGGUAGUCCAUGCCGUAAACGGUGGGCGCUAGGUGUAGGGGUCUUCCACGACUUCUGUGCCGUAGCUAACGCCUUAAGCGCACCGCCUGGGGAGUACGGCCGCAAGGCUAACACUCAAAUGAAUUGACGGGG